UCACCUGUUUUUCAAAAACAUGUCUUAAAGAUUAUAAUUUUAAGUCAAAUCUGCUCAAUGAAUUUAUUUAUUUUAAAUAGCUGCAGUAUCUAUAACUGUACUAAGGUAGCAUAAUAAAUAGUUUUUUAAUUGAAAACUAGAAUGAAUGAUUUAAUGAAAUAUAAACUGUAUCAAACUUAAAAAAUAAAAUUGUUCUUUAAGUAAAAAAAUUUAAAUUUUUAUUAAAGACGAAAAGACCCUAAAGAAUUUUCAUAAUUUUUUAUUAACUAUUUUAAUUUAAAAUUAUUUUAAUUGGGGAAAUUUUAAAAUUUUAAAAAUUUUUAAUUAAAUUAACAUAAAUUUUUGAAUAAUUAAAAUUUUAUAAAAAAAUAAAUUUAAAUUACCUUAGGGAUAACAGCAUAAUUUUUUUUAAAAGUUCAAAUUUAAAAAAAAGUUUAUGACCUCG
rnacentral:rRNA from 2 species